AGUAAAAUAUUUUUAGCCAAGAAUCCAUUUGAUAUAUGGGAGACCUUAGAGAUGAGGAAAAACAUUGUUGGGUUUAGGCCUAGUUCUACCUCCGGUAGGGGUAUCUCAAAAACUAAAGCUCUUUCUGACCAUCUGUCACUAGCCUAAUUUGCAGGUCGUAUGUUUAGAACAGGAAAUCGCGUUGCCAGGACAACGUGACAUAUUCACUUACUGGCCUGGUUACGUUUAUGCUGUGACGCACUCGGAAGAUCAUGAACCGCGGGAAAGUUUUACACGUGAUCACAUCUACAGACAUUUUUGGCUGAAGCCGACAGUGGAUGCCAGCUCGGAAAAUCGAAUGGAAAUGGUAAGUUGUUAAAAUUUUGUCACUGGGUAAUUGAACAUUGUGGUUAAGGAGCAUUCAAUAUUAGUUUUAGCUCGUUAUAGUAGAUAUAAUGUCAACUGUAUUGCGUACAGAGGCGGUUCUGUUUUUAUUUCGCUGCGUAGCCCUGGUCCUGUAAUUCCAUUAACUCGAGCCUCGUGGACAUUUGCUAACUAUGCUAGAACUUGCAAUCACUGCUUAGUGCUCUGUGCUACGUGACAAAAACAUAUAAUUCCAUUAGCUGGAGCGUCGAGGAUAUCCGCUAACGAUGGUAGAAACUUCCAAACACUGCUUACAUGCGCUAUCCUUGCUACUUGGCAAAAUUGUUAAGCUUAACAUGUGAUUCCAUUAGCUGGAGCAUCGUGGAUAUUUGCUAACAAUGCUAUCGAUAGAAACUUCCAAACUCUGCUUAGGAGUAGUAGCCGUAGUAGUAAUAAUAUAUUUACCUUAUCUGCGCUGUCGUUGCUACGUGACAAAAUUGUUAUCAUGAACAUUAAUUUAAACAUGUCAUUGAAUAGUUAGAAAUCCUAAUCCUUUGAUCAUGUGCAGUUUUAAAAUAUCUGUAGAUCAUUUUUGCUGAAUUGGUGCUGUACUUGAUUAACAGAUCAUUAACAAUGACAACAAACAGGAAAGCCCCUGAAAGAGAUGCCCUUGAACAUGUGGUCAAGGCUAUUGACAAGACUGCACACUUGGAAGUGAAAUUCAUAAACUCUGUCAAAGGUCGAGGUGUGUUUGCCAAAUCCCACUUUGAAAAAGGAAACUUUGUGGUGGAGUACCGAGGCCAAUUAAUAAAAUCUGAAGAAUCUCAAAGGAGGAGGAGAGUAUAUCAUAGUCAAUGUGCAGUCUUCCUGUUCGAUUUCUACUGGCAAGAAAGAUUAUGGUGCAUUGAUGCAGCUCAAGAAGAUGGCAGCUUGGGAAGAUUAGUUAAUGAUGAGAACAUCCGUCCCAAUUGCAAAAUGAAAAAGCUCAUAGUAGAGGGGAAGCCACACCUCUGUCUUUUCGCCCUGAGGAACAUUAUUCCUGGAGAGGAGAUUACGUAUAAUUAUGGAGGAACUGACUGGCCAUGGAGGAAUAAGAUUGAAGAGGAACCAGUUGAGACAAUGUCUCCUGCAGUAGAGGCCCCUGAAACAUCUCCGCAGCUUUUAGAGGCCCCUGAAACAUCUCCGCAGCUUUUAGAGGCCCCUGAAACAUCUCCGCAGCUUGCAGUGCUAUCAUCAGUGUCCGAGAAAAAGAUUAAAGAGGAACCAGUUGAGACCAUGUCUCCUGCAGUAGAGGCCCCUGAAACAUCUCAGCAGCUUGCAGUGCUAUCAUCAGUGUCCAAGAAAAAGAUUGGAAAGAAACGUCUUAUGACCAAAUCUGCCGCAGUAGAGGCCCCUAAAACAUCUCAGCCGCCUGCAGUGCUUUCGACAGUGUCCAAGAAAAAGAUUGGAAAGAAACGUCUUAUGACCAAAUCUGCCGCAGUAGAGGCCCCUAAAACAUCUCAGCCGCUUGCAGUGCUUUCGACAGUGUCCAAGAAAAAGAUUGAAGAGGAACCAGUUGAGACCAUGUCUCCUGCAGUAGAGGCCCCUGAAACAUCUCCGCAGCUUUUAGAGGCACCUGAAACAUCUCCGCAGCUUGCAGUGCUAUCAUCAGUGUCCGAGAAAAAGAUUAAAGAGGAACCAGUUGAGACCAUGUCUCCUGCAGUAGAGGCCCCUGAAACAUCUCCGCAGCUUUUAGAGGCCCCUGAAACAUCUCCGCAGCUUGCAGUGCUAUCAUCAGUGUCCGAGAAAAAGAUUGGAAAGAAACGUCUUAUGACCAAAUCUGCCGCAGUAGAGGCCCCUAAAACAUCUCAGCCGCCUGCAGUGCUUUCGACAGUGUCCGAGAAAAAGAUCGAAGAGGAACCCGUUGUGACUAAUUCUACAGCAGUAGAGGCCCCUCAAACAUCCCAGCAGCCUGCAGUGCUUUCGUCAGUUUCCAAGAAAAAGAUUGGAGAGAAACGUACUGUGAUUGAGUCUGGACUAGCUGACCGUUAUGAAACACCUGAACACUGUGGUCUGCUUUCGCCCAAGAAAAAGAGAUGUAAUCUAAUUCAGGAGUCCUCAGACCAAGACCAACCUUAUGUCCCUAAACUGAGGAGGACCAAAAGCAUUCAGAUUAACAGACAAACCGAUUUUGAUUCCUAUGAGCUUUUUGAGACAUCAGAUGAAAGUGAAGAAGAAUAUGUUCCUGAUACAAGCGAGGAUUCAUCUGAUGAAACGGACACCAGUGAAGUUUUUGAAACAUCCAAUCAGAAGAAAAUUACAUUAAGGGGACGCUCACUCGUACGAAAGGGCAGUGCUUUGAAACGGAAAAGGCACCAUUCCAGAAGUGUAUCCUGUUGCCGAACACAUUCUUUUGGUGGACAGUCAUCAGAAACUUCAUACACUGAAGACCCUCAUGGAAGCUCGACACUGGUUUGUCCUGACAGUACUACUUCCCCCACUUCAGAUGUAGCUGACGACUUACUUACCGUACCUGCUGUCUGUAAAAAAGAGGAUGGAUCACGACAAUAUAACAAAAAACAGUACUGUUUAUACUGUAAAAAGGGAUUUAUAAAAAUGGCCAGGCAUUUAGAGCGUGCUCAUAAAAACGAGAAAGAAGUUGCACAGGCUGGGUCUUUUCCAAAAGGUUCUAAACAAAGAAGACUGCAUCUGGAACAUUUGAGAAAUAGAGGCAACUUCGCCCACAAUUCUGAGGUCUUAAAUACUGGUGUUGGAAAGCUUGUUCCUCGGAAACAACCAAAAGAUGAUUCUAAACCCAGAGAUUUUGAUCACUGUAUAUAUUGUCAAGGCUAUUUCACAAAGAAAGUUAUGUGGCGCCACAUGAUGAUAUGCAAGUUUAAGCCUAGUGGCCCUACGAAGCCUGGCAAAACACGGGUGCAAGCACUUUGUGCUUUUGCUGUACCACCACCACCUGGAGUCAAAGCAGAAUUCUGGAAGGUCCUAAACCAUAUGAUUCAAGAUGACGUUUACUUUGCAGUUAAAUCUGAUGUCUGGAUCAUGGAGUAUGGUGUGCAUUUGCAUAACAAGCAUGGAUAUGAUGUUGGCAAACAUGAAUAUAUCCGUCAGAAAAUGAGGGAACUGGGAAGGCUUUUGAUUUGUUCGAGGAAAACCACUCCCUUGAAGACCAUCGAAGAUCACAUGAAGCCUGAAAAUUUCAUGCAUGUUGUGCAAGCUGUGCAACUCGUGGCUGGCUUUGUCUCUGAAUCCAGCACCUACAAGCGUCCAAGUCUUGCACUAAAAAUUGGGCAUAGUCUGGUGAAGAUAUCGCUGCUUCUUGAAGCCCGUGCAAGUAUGCAAAACAACCAACCAGCAGCAAAAGAUGCUCGUAGGUUCCGCUCAGUGUACGAAGCCAGAUGGAACGAACUCAUUUCAGCUGCAUCACUGAGAACAAUGCAUGAAUCGAAAUGGAAUGUUCCUCAGUUGAUUCCGUUCACUAAGGAUGUUCAGAAACUCCACUCCUAUUUGGACAUGCAGCAGGAACAGUUUUACAACGAACUGUCCUCAGAGCCGUCUAAAAACACUUGGGUACAUCUGACUAAAAUCACUUUGACACAAGUCAUGAUGUUCAACCGACGUAGAACAGGAGAAGUUUCAAAAAUGCCCCUCUCUACCUAUUUUGCUCCAAAUCCAGUAGAUCUGCAGGAAGAUGUGGGUAUGGCGCUUUCAGAGCUAGAGAAAAAACUCUGUCAGCAUUUCAGGAGGUUGGAGAUACGAGGAAAAAGAGGAAGAAAGGUCCCUGUCCUCCUAACUCCAGAAAUGCAGAGAUCGUUGGACCUCCUUGUUGCCAAGCGACUUGAGUGUGGGAUUCUUAAGGAAAAUGGCUACCUAUUUGCCAGGCCGUCUGUAUUGACCUGCUACCGUGGUUCUGAUUGUAUCAGAGAUUUUGCCAAGGUCUGUGGUAUUGCAAACUACACAAGUCUCACUUCUACAAAACUGCGCAAGCAAACCGGAACACUCUCUCAAGUUCUCAACCUCAGUAAUACAGAGCUGGACCAAUUAGCCAAUUUCCUUGGCCAUGAUGUCAGAGUCCAUCGGCAAUUUUACAGGCUGCCUGAAGGGACCCUUCAACUUGCUAAAAUUAGCAAAGUCCUCUUGGCUCUUGAACAGGGGCGUUUGGCAGAAUUCAAAGGCAAAGGCCUGGAUGACAUCACAAUCGGUCCAGAAGAGAGUGUGAACCUUGACAGUGACCAUGAGGCACAGGAGAAUGUAGACAGUGACACUGAGGUACAGCGUGAGUCUGACACACAAGAAACCCAGUCUCAGAAGAGAGAGAGGAGUACAGAAGGGUUGAUGGAGAAAGAGGUCAAGGUUAAGUUGGAAAAGAUGAGUGAAGUAAUCUAUAACUAUGUCUUAGACAGGUUUGGAUGUGUGUGCCUUGAUCAAGAAUAGUUUUCUUCAUAUGUUUCCUUAAGAAAACUAGUUUUCUUUCCCUUUUGCUUGGAUGGGGGGUUUUGAACCUGGGUUGCCCGUUUGUGAGGCAAGUGCCUUGGCCAUUGUGCUACAGUGGAGUUGAAGAUCAGUGUAACUUAAGGUAAUAUGUGCAAUGUGAAUAGGUACACCCCAGACCAGUAGAGGGCAGCAAUGCAGAUUCUUGGUCAGUAGAAGCACAGCUGAAGAAGAGCAGACUAAGUUCCGUGGAGCUAGCGACAGUAAGCGACAGUACGCGACAAUAGCGGGCAAUAUGGCGGCGAAAAGCGUCAAAAUAAAGUACAAAAGCGGACACAGAGUGUUUUACGGCUAAAUGAACGGGAAAGCAGUUCAGAUGGAGACGACAGAAGAAAAAGUGUCCAGAAGAAAAAGUCCAAGACCAUUCACAAGCCACAGAAG